CGGAAUCGUCGGAGCUCAAGCAGAUCCCGGUGGUGAUCAUGUCCUCCGAGAACGUGCCGACACGGAUCACCAGGUGCAUGGAAGAAGGCGCCGAGGACUUCCUGCUCAAGCCCGUCAAGCCGUCGGACAUCUCCCGCAUAACCACCCGAAUGCUGCACUGAUCAGUGGCCACCACAGUCGUCAGAUUGUCAGUAGUGUUUUGCAGUUACAGUAGACAUAGCGAUCGAGUUUAUUCAGAAUAGCAAUUAGACACCGUACAAAAAAAAGAACAGCAAUUAGACUGUAACGGGGGCUCGGCUAGCUUGCUGCUUCAGUAGUAGCAGGAGUUAGCUGUAGGCUUCCAGUAGCGAGUUUCUCAAGAUAUAAGAUGUGUGCAUGGAUCGUUUCGUUUAAUGGAAAAUUACAGUGGCUGACCCUUUUGCCACUAGCAAGUUUUGUUU